AAUCAACGCUGGCGGCGUGCCUCAGACAUGCAAGUCGAACGAUUAAAGCUCUCUUCGGAGAGUGCAUAGAGUGGCGCACGGGUGAGUAACACGUAAGUAAUCUACCUUCGAGUGGGGAAUAACAACCGGAAACGGUUGCUAAUACCGCAUAAUGCAGCGGCAUCGCAAGAUGACAGUUGUUAAAGGAGCAAUUCGCUUAAAGAGGAGCUUGCGGCAGAUUAGCUAGUUGGUAAGGUAAUGGCUUACCAAGGCUACGAUCUGUAACCGGUCUUAGAGGACGGUCGGUCACACUGACACUGAAUAACGGGUCAGACUCCUACGGGAGGCAGCAGUCGGGAAUUUUGGGCAAUGGGCGAAAGCCUGACCCAGCAACGCCGCGUGAAGGAUGAAGUAUUUCGGUAUGUAAACUUCGAAAGAAUAGGAAGAAUUAAUGACGGUACUAUUUAUAAGGUCCGGCUAACUACGUGCCAGCAGCCGCGGUAAGUGACGUCAGA
rnacentral:rRNA from 1 species